rnacentral:rRNA from 1 species
AAGCGCUUGCAGCCAGACUUGCCUGUAGUUGCUCAUCCGGGUUUUUACCCGGUGCACUCUUCUAUAGGCAGGCCAGCAUCAGUUUGGGCGGUUGGAUAAAGGUCUCUGUCAUGUACCUCUCUUCGGGGAG